CAUCGAUCUGGCUCGAUUGACGCUGGCGGCAGGCUUAACACAUGCAAGUCGAGCGGUAGCACAGGGGAGCUUGCUCCCCGGGUGACGAGCGGCGGACGGGUGAGUAAUGUCUGGGAAACUGCCUGAUGGAGGGGGAUAACUACUGGAAACGGUAGCUAAUACCGCAUAACGUCGCAAGACCAAAGAGGGGGACCUUCGGGCCUCUUGCCAUCAGAUGUGCCCAGAUGGGAUUAGCUAGUAGGUGGGGUAAUGGCUCACCUAGGCGACGAUCCCUAGCUGGUCUGAGAGGAUGACCAGCCACACUGGAACUGAGACACGGUCCAGACUCCUACGGGAGGCAGCAGUGGGGAAUAUUGCACAAUGGGCGCAAGCCUGAUGCAGCCAUGCCGCGUGUGUGAAGAAGGCCUUCGGGUUGUAAAGCACUUUCAGCGAGGAGGAAGGUGGUGAGCUUAAUACGCUCAUCAAUUGACGUUACUCGCAGAAGAAGCACCGGCUAACUCCGUGCCAGCCGCCGCGGUAAUUCGUCGUGACUGAAACACCCCUCUGGCGAA
rnacentral:rRNA from 1 species